rnacentral:lncRNA from 1 species
UACAUGUGUGCCUGACCAUGCUUGCGAGUGGUCAGGGUGACAUAGAGUGAGACUUUCAGGGGACUGCGUUUUCUCUUUCGGUUUCACUUUUGUACUUGCUGGACAGACUGCUGCUACGCUGGCUGGCUAGGUUGCUCUGACAAAGAAUAAUUAAUUUCCUACAGACCUUAACUGAUGGAUUAGGGUAUAUUAUUACACUGAGAGUGUUCACCAGAUCCAGUAUAAUGCUUGCUGUUCAACUAUCCACAGAAAACCUGCAACACAAUAGGUAAAUUUGUAUUCUGUAUACUUCCACGCAUACAAGAUUACACACAAUGGGAUUUGAAGA